rnacentral:rRNA from 1 species
UACGUAGGGGGCAAGCGUUGUCCGGAUUUAUUGGGCGUAAAGAGCGUGUAGGCGGCCUGAAAGGUCAGCUGUGAAAACUCGAGGCUCAACCUCGAGACGUCGGUUGAAACCAUCUGGCUAGAGUCCGGAAGAGGAGUGUGGAAUUCCCGGUGUAGCGGUGAAAUGCGCAGAUAUCGGGAAGAACACCCGUGGCGAAGGCGGCUCUCUGGGACGGUACUGGACGCUGAGACGCGAAAGCGUGGGGAGCGAACAGG